UAGACAUGGCAUUGGCAUCUAUACAUUCACUACUCUUAUUCCUACUUGGAGUGAUGUUGCUCACAAGUUCAUUGUUAGCUGCAACAACACUUCAAGAGAAUCCACCAAACGAUUAUAAGUAUCCAAAAAGAUUGCCAGCUCCCCAAAGGCCCAAAAUAAUUGUGCCAUAUCCCCGUGAACCUCCUAUAAACGAUCCUCUCAUAUAUAGUAUGAUUUUAUUUUUCUUACUCUAUUUUUAUUAUUCUACCUUUCUUUUAUGUCUUUUUUCUUUCAAAUGGGUUAUAUGCAAANNNNNNNNUUUUUUUUUGUGUAAUUAUCUUUCUUCUUUUAUAAUUUAGAUUACAUAAAAACAAUGACUUGAUACCCUACUUUCUAAGUUGAUACGUCGCUACAAAAAAUUUGAUUUUUGGCAACAUAUUUUUUCGUUAAAAGUCGUUGGCAACAGUUUUGCCAACGAUUUGUAACGAAAAAAAAGAGCUGGCAAAAAUCAAAUUUCUUGUAAUGCAUGAUCGUGUGAUAGAGAUCAAAUUUUCAUACAGUCACGUAGUUAGAGAAAUGUACCACCGUUUAGAAAUUGGAUAAUCUAGAAUUAAAAACCGGUAAUUUUAGUUUCUAAAAUAUAUUGAUUCUUUUUUUUUUAAGAAUUAAUAUAUUUGGUUUUUAGGAUAAUCUGAUUUUGAUCGGACGUUCACGGAUAGUUUGACUGUGUGACUGCAUUGAAUCUAAAUUUGAGUGAUGAUUUAUGCCAAUUAUGUUUAGUUGAUUAUUAAAAUUUAUUGUUGUGUAUUUUAGUUUCCUUCCCAAAAAAAUCCAUUGUGUUUAUGAAAUUUGAGGGAGUCUAGUUUCUUUCUUUUCUCCUUUAUUUCGGUUUCUUUCAUCAUGUUUGAGAAAAAUAUGUUUUCAAGUUUUAAGAAAGAGAAUGGGUAUUUGUCAAAAAAAUACAAUAAAAUACUCGUGUCCCUCAAUUGAAUUCUUAAAAUAAUUAAAAUUUGUUAUUUUUGUUGAACUAAUUAAUUAGCAAAGUUUGGUUAUACCUAGAGGGUGCAUUGCCGUAGCUGCCCCCAAGCGCCUAGCGCCCUUGGAUGCUAUCAAGCUAGCACCCAACGUUGGAAGGGUACGUAGUUGCCUAUAGUCCUGUUUGGGGCUAUCUAUGUUGAGUUAUUUUGUAAUGUUGACUCAUGUCUAAGUGGCUUAAUCAAAAGUUCGUGCAUUAACGAUAGGGAAUGGUGCAUAUUACGAAAGGAUAAGGUCUAGAUUAAUAAACUACAGAACAACUUUGAUCUUCUAUCGACCCUUGAUUUCCGCCAAUUAAAGACUAAAACUGUUUCAAGAUUUUAUGCAAAUCUACGACGUACUUGUUCUUCCAAUUCGUUGUCAAAUUCCUUUGUAAGAUAUAGCAUGACUCUUGAACAUUUUUUAUGUGAUAGUAUAUUUUAUGUUCAAUCUAGUUUCUAAAUGUAUUAUAUAAUGUUAUGAUUACAAAUAUAUUUUGUCCCCCAAUAGUCACUAAAAAUUAUUUCUCACCCUUUAUCUUUAUUUUGAGCAGAUAAGAAGCAUUAAUAAAGUUGUGAUCCCAUGACUGUUUGAUGUGGCAAGAUUUUCCAUCCUUUAUUUUGAUUAGUUUUUUUGUAGAAAAUAAUUCAAAGGAUGUACUUAUGUCUAGAAAAUAAUUCUAAGGAUGUACUUAUGUCGUCUAUUUGUUUUAUUGUCUAAAUACUGGUUACUCUAGUUUUAUUGGCUUUUAGCCAUUAGUUUUGUUGUAUGAUACU
rnacentral:lncRNA from 1 species